rnacentral:rRNA from 1 species
ACUAAACGAUGCCAACCAGUAAUUCGCCUGAGUUCCUUAAAUGACUCGGCGAGGGACUUCCGGGAAACCAAAGUGUUUCGGUUCCAGGGGAAGUAUGGUUGCAAAGCUGAAACUUAAAGAAAUUGACGGAAGGGCACCACCAGGAGUGGAGCCUGCGGCUUAAUUUGACUCAACACGGGAAAACUCACCCGGCCCGGACACUGGAAGGAUUGACAGAUUGAGAGCUCUUUCUUGAUUCAGUGGGUGGUGGUGCAUGGCCGUUCUUAGUUGGUGGAGUGAUUUGUCUGGUUAAUUCCGAUAACGAACGAGACUCUAGCCUACUAAAUAGAUCGUCGGCUUACAAACGCCGGCGACUACUUCUUAGAGGGACAGGCGGUGAUUCAACCGCACGAAACAGAGCAAUAACAGGUCUGUGAUGCCCUUAGAUGUCCGGGGCCGCACGCGCGCUACACUGAAGUGAUCAGCGUGCUUCUUUCUGCCUACUCUGUCAAGAGUGGGGAACCCAAUGAACCUUCUUCGUGAUUGGGAUAGGGGAUUGUAAUUAUUCCCCUUGAACGAGGAAUUCCCAGUAAGCGCGAGUCAUAAGCUCGCGUUGAUUACGUCCCUGCCCUUUGUACACACCGCCCGUCGCUACUACCGAUUGAAUGAUUUAGUGAGGUCUUCAGACCGGCCGGCGCAGUUGUCCUCGUUGAUGACCGUGCUGUGUUUGGAAAGAUGCCCAAACUUGAUCAUUUAGAGGAAGUAAAAGUCGUAACAAAGUUUCCGUAGUGAACCUGCGGAAGGAUCAAGGCGAAUUCGCGGCGCUAAAUUCAUUCGCCUAUAGUGGGUCGAUACUCGAGGGGGGGUUUUAUAUAAUAAAAAAAAGCGGACGCAGACAGAGAUACAUCAUCGAACUGCUCUCUUGUGCUCGUAUGACAGUUGAUG